UAGGGAAUAUUGGGCAAUGGAGGCAACUCUGACCCAGCCAUGCCGCGUGCAGGAGGAAGGCCCUCUGGGUUGUAAACUGCUUUUGGGAGGGGACAAAAGGCCCAUGCGUGGGAGAUUGAGUGUACCUCCAGAAUAAGCACCGGCUAACUCCGUGCCAGCAGCCGCGGUAAUACGGAGGGUGCAAGCGUUGUCCGGAUUUAUUGGGUUUAAAGGGUGCGUAGGCGGCCCGAUAAGUCGGGGGUGAAACCCACAGGCUUAACCUGUGGAGUGCCCUCGAUACUGUCGGGCUUGGGUUAUCUCUAGGCGGGCGGAAUGGAAGGUGUAGCGGUGAAAUGCAUAGAUAUCUACCAGAACGCCGAUAGCGAAGGCAGCUCGCUGGGGAUAUACCGACGCUGAGGCACGAUAGCGUGGGGAUCAAACAGG
rnacentral:rRNA from 1 species